UGUGAAGAAGGCCUGCGGGUUGUAAAGCACUUUUGUUCGGGAAGAAAUCAUGCUGGUUAAUACCUGGUAUGGAUGACGGUACCGAAAGAAUAAGCACCGGCUAACUUCGUGCCAGCAGCCGCGGUAAUACGAAGGGUGCAAGCGUUAAUCGGAAUUACUGGGCGUAAAGGGUGCGUAGGCGGCCUUUUAAGUCGGAUGUGAAAUCCCCGGGCUCAACCUGGGAAUGGCAUUCGAUACUGGGAGGCUAGAGUUUGGGAGAGGGUGGUGGAAUUCCCGGUGUAGCGGUGAAAUGCGUAGAGAUCGGGAGGAACAUCAGUGGCGAAGGCGGCCACCUGGCCUAAAACUGACGCUGAGGCACGAAAGCGUGGGGAGCAAACAGGAUUAGAUACCCCAGUAGUC
rnacentral:rRNA from 1 species